GAUGAACGCUAGCGAUAGGCUUAACACAUGCAAGUCGAGGGGCAGCACAAGGUAGCUUGCUAUCUGGGUGGCGACCGGCGCACGGGUGCGUAACGCGUAUGCAACUUGCCCUAUACAGGAGGAUAACCCGUCGAAAGACGGACUAAUACUGCGUAUGCUCACAACUUGGCAUCAAGUGGUGAGGAAAGAAAUUCGGUAUAGGAUAGGCAUGCGUCCCAUUAGCUUGUUGGUGAGGUAACGGCUCACCAAGGCAACGAUGGGUAGGGGAACUGAGAGGUUUAUCCCCCACACUGGUACUGAGACACGGACCAGACUCCUACGGGAGGCAGCAGUGAGGAAUAGUGGUCAAUGGGCGCGAGCCUGAACCAGCCAAGUCGCGUGAAGGAUGACUGUCUUAUGGAUUGUAAACUUCUUUUAUACGGGAAUAACAAGAGUCACGUGUGACUCCCUGCAUGUACCGUAUGAAUAAGCAUCGGCUAACUCCGUG
rnacentral:rRNA from 1 species